rnacentral:rRNA from 1 species
CCAGACUCCUACGGGAGGCAGCAGUGAGGAAUAUUGGUCAAUGGACGGAACGUCUGAACCAGCCAAGUCGCGUGAAGGAUGAAGGUUCUAGUGGAUUGUAAACUUCUUUUAUAGGGGGUAAUAAAAAAGUUCACGUGUUGGACUUCUUGUAUGUACCCUACUGAAUAAGUCAUCGGCUAACUCCGUGCCAGCAGCCGCGGUAAUACGGAGGAUGCGGAGCGUUAUCCGGAUUUAUUGGGUUUAAAGGGUGCGUAGGUGGUCUUUAACGUCAGCGGUGAAAGUUUGUGGCUUAACCAUAAAAUUGCAGUUGAUACUGGCGUUCUUGACGUGCAGUUUGAGGUGUGCGGAAUUCGUGGUGUAGCGGUGAAAUGCUUAGAUAUCACGAAGAACUCUAUUGCGAAGGCAGCUCACUAAACUGCUAACUGACGUUCAUGCUCGAAAGUGUGGGUAAUCAAACAGGAUUAGGAUACCCUGGUAGUCCAACACGGUAAACGAUGAACUACUCGCUGUUGGCGAUAUACAGUCAGCGGCCAAAGCGAAAGCUAAG